CGAAAAUAUUCUUUCUACAUUAGCUGAAGAAUGGAGCAGACACAAGAUAUUUUCAACAAAACGAGAUAGAGUCUUUGCAAUAAAUUCUCUUACAAUAUAUAAGAAAUGAAGAAAGAGAGAUAAUUGCUUUUCUAAUGUUAAAAACGUUAUUAUAUAGCCUGCAAACAUUGAAUAGACAUAUCCUCGUUAGGAUGUUAUCAGUUUAAAAAAAAAAGUCAUGCUAAUAAUAGUCGGUAUAACCUGAUAAUGAAUCAGUGUCUACACAACCGUGAUUCAACGCUGAUAUCAGCCAGCGAUUAGAGAGCCUUUAUAAGAGUUGGUCAUACACAACGAGCUAGAAUAUGGUACAUACUGUACAUUUUUAAAUUCAACACUUACAUCACCGCCGAGUUUUUUCGUUGAACGAUCUAACGUCAGGUUUUGUAGAAAAAAAAGAAACGUUUCUGUUGAAAGGACGCUUUUCACGAUGGCCGACUUAAUAAAGGAUAAGUUACGGCAAUACAACACUUGGGCGAUGCCUUUCGGGAAGUCUUGGAAAAGGAAACUAUCC